rnacentral:rRNA from 1 species
UACGUAGGGUGCGAGCGUUAAUCGGAAUUACUGGGCGUAAAGGGUGCGUAGGUGGUUUGAUAAGUUGUCUGUGAAAUUCCCGGGCUUAACCUGGGACGGUCAGAUGAAACCGUUAGACUCGAGUAUGGGAGAGGGUAGUGGAAUUUCCGGUGUAGCGGUGAAAUGCGUAGAGAUCGGAAGGAACAUCGGUGGCGAAGGCGUCUACCUGGCCUAAUACUGACACUGAGGCACG